UGGAAUGAUGGUGAUGUACAACCUCACCAGAGUACCAAUUGGAGGGCAAGUCUGGUGCCAGCAGCCGCGGUAAUUCCAGCUCCAAUAGCGUAUAUUAAACUUGUUGCAGUUAAAAAGCUCGUAGUUGUAUUUCAGCCUCGCGUUUUUUCCCUUUUGUUGGGUCUUUUCGCUGGCUUUUUUUUUACUUUGAGAAAAUUAGAGUGUUUCAAGCAGACUUUUGUCUUGAAUACUUCAGCAUGGAAUAAUAGAGUAGGACCUUGGUUCUAUUUUGUUGGUUUUGAGCCUUGGUAAUGGUUAAUAGGAACGGUUGGGGGCAUUCGUAUUUAACUGUCAGAGGUGAAAUUCUUAGAUUUGUUAAAGACGAACCACUGCGAAAGCAUUUGCCAAGGACGUUUUCAUUAAUCAAGAACGAAAGUUAGGGGAUCGAAGACGAUCAGAUACCGUCGUAGUCCUAACCAUAAA
rnacentral:rRNA from 1 species